rnacentral:rRNA from 1 species
UAGGCGGACGGGUGAGUAAUGUCUGGGAAACUGCCCGAUGGAGGGGGAUAACUACUGGAAACGGUAGCUAAUACCGCAUAACGUCGCAAGACCAAAGAGGGGGACCUUCGGGCCUCUUGCCAUCGGAUGUGCCCAGAUGGGAUUAGCUAGUAGGUGGGGUAACGGCUCACCUAGGCGACGAUCCCUAGCUGGUCCGAGAGGAUGACCAGCCACACUGGAACUGAGACACGGUCCAG